rnacentral:rRNA from 1 species
UAGGUAGGUGGUCUGAUUUGUCAGGGGUGAAAGCCUUGGGCUUAACCCAAGAAGUGCCCCUGAAACGGUCAGACUGGAGUCUUGGAGAGGGUCGUGGAAUUCCCGGUGUAGCGGUGAAAUGCGUAGAGAUCGGGAGGAACACCAGAGGCGAAGGCGGCGACCUGGACAAGUACUGACACUCAACUACGAAAGCGUGGGUAGCAAACAGGAUUAGAUACCCUGGUAGUCCACGCUGUAAACGAUGGGAACUAGGUUUAGUGGGUCUUGACCCCCGCUGAACCGGAGCUAACGCGAUAAGUUCCCCGCCUGGGAAGUACGGUCGCAAGACUAAA